UCCCGGUUUCCCGGGCAGUCCCGUCAGAGUGCCCAUAAAAAUGGUUGCAACUGACAGCAGGAGUUGCGCUCGUUAUAGGACUUAACCCAACAUCUCACGACACGAGCUGACGACAGCCAUGCAGCACCUGUGUAAUUGUCCAAACCGAAGCUUGGAAGAUUGUAUUUCUACAACUGUCAAAAACAUGUCAAGCCCAGGUAAGGUUUCUCGCGUAGUGUCGAAUUAAACCACAUGUUCCACCGCUUGUGCGGGCCCCCGUCAAUUCUUUUGAGUUUUAGUCUUGCGACCGUACUUCCCAGGCGGAUCACUUAACGCGUUAGCUACGACACUGAUUCCGCUAAGCAGAACCAACAUCAAGUGAUCAUCGUUUACAGCGUGGACUAC
rnacentral:misc_RNA from 1 species